UACGGGAGGCAGCAGUGGGGAAUAUUGCACAAUGGGCGCAAGCCUGAUGCAGCCAUGCCGCGUGUAUGAAGAAGGCCUUCGGGUUGUAAAGUACUUUCAGUCGUGAGGAAGGUGUUAAGGUUAAUAACCUUAGCAAUUGACGUUAGCGACAGAAGAAGCACCGGCUAACUCCGUGCCAGCAGCCGCGGUAAUACGGAGGGUGCGAGCGUUAAUCGGAAUUACUGGGCGUAAAGGGCACGCAGGCGGUUAAUUAAGUUGGAUGUGAAAUCCCCGGGCUUAACCUGGGAAUGGCAUUCAAGCUGGUUAGCUAGAGUCUUGUAGAGGGGGUAGAAUUCCAUGUGUAGCGGUGAAAUGCGUAGAGAUGUGGAGGAAUACCGGUGGCGAAGGCGGCCCCUGGACAAAGGACUGACGCUCAUGUGCGAAGCGUGGGGAGCAAACAGGGAUUAGAUACC
rnacentral:rRNA from 1 species